rnacentral:siRNA from 1 species
GACAUUGUCAGGUGGGGAG